rnacentral:tRNA from 1 species
GGGUUAAUAGUUAAAAUAUAAUAGGAGUCUUGUAAACUCCAGUUAGCAUGGUCUUUAACCCU